AGGCCUCGUGUUUUGGCAGUGAAGCGCUUACCUGGGCUGCCAGCACGCUGCCUGAUCCCCCUGCCCUGCCAGGGGCUGUGCUGUGCUUCUGGAGGAAUUUGAGCAAGGGGUAUCAGCUCUCACCUGGCUUCUCCCUGUUGAAGAGGUGUGCCAUUCUUACUGAAGGCAUGCAUAUGAAGAUUCAAAAAUGAGCACAGCCACAGAAGCAUUAGUAUGCAAUUAAGCCACAGGGCAGGCAACCUGAACAAGCCAGUAUACCAUUGGGUCAACAAAGCACAAAACACCUGGGCUCAAUGCACUGAAUUGGUGGGUGCUAAUUAGCUCAGUCUUUAAUACUUCCCCUAAUGAGCCUGUAUAAGCACUCUGCAUUGGGCUGCUCACCAGGAGAAGUUCUCCUGAUCCUCCAGAGCUGCUGCUCUCCUAUAGAGGCAGCUGUGCUGCAUGCAGGGCUGGCACCUCAUGCUAGGGCUGGUGCUGCAUCAGCUCUGCAGUGCUACCUGGCUGCAAACUGACUGGAGUCAAAUCCAACAAAACCUGGCUGCUGCAACUAUCACGAUGCUUGCCCUCCGGCCGGCAUGCUGGAUAACUGGCUUCCAAGGCAGUCAUUAAUCUCCCCCCAUUACCCAGCUGGCACAGGAAUUCACUGAGAGAGGAGAGCUGCCUGUGUGCCCUCCCAGUGGCAGCUCCCCAAGCCAUGGAGCGUUGCUCCUCCAAUGCACCGGAGCAACGCUCAAGGAAGCAGGGAUGUCACCAAGCACCAUCAGAGGAUCUUGGAUACGUGGGAUGAAUGCAACCUGCCUGUUGGCAACUGCGGAAGAAAGAAGCAGCGUGCAUCUCCAGGGAAAGAUGGCUGGGAUCAGAGCUAAGUUUAGAGAGUUACUUAGUCCACAGCAAUAGCAGCAGAGAGCAGCCCGAUGUAUGCAAGCUAUGCAAGUGAAAGGAAGAUGCACAUAAGCCUUCAGCAAGAAAAUACAGCUCAGCAGUACUGUGCUUUCAUCCAACCAUUGGGUUUUGACCCAUCUGGGGUGACAGGGCUGAAAGUGCAUCAGGAGGUAUGUAAUUAACUGAGUGCAGACAGGAGCUGCUGCUCCAGCAAAGCCCUGGUGAAAUGAAAACAAAGCAGGCUGAGAAAGCAACAAUGCACCGUCUACUAAAGAAGACAAAGUAAUCAGAAACAAGUUUUGUGCCCUUCCUACCUGAAACAGCCAUCUCCCUGCCUCCCACUGCUGUGUGGGAAUGUUUGAGCAUCUGCAUCGAAACACAAGUAACUUUUUCAGAGUGUUUUCUUGGCGUGUCAGCGAGAUGAUGCACAACAAACCUGUCAUAUCCUCUUGGUAACAGUGUUCAUUUGCCACUUUUCUGCACAAGAGCAUUGUGUAUACACACAACACUACACUAACCUGCAUUUGAUCUGGUGGUAGGACCAUAGUUCUCCCACGGCGAGGAAAAACACAGACAAGUUUUUGAUCUUCCUUAAAGCAAUGCUUAUCUCAGUUUUGUUUGUUUUCUGUUUUUUGAGUGCAGGGUAGCGUCUGAUGUGCAUGCCACCCACCACAGCUUAUCUCGGCAGCGAAGCAACCAUUGCAAACCAAAAUAACAGCAUCUUCCUCUGUGCCUGCCCUUCAAGCAGUGACAGGCAUGUUUUGGUAUCGCAGACCCCAGGGCGUUAAGCACCAGUCUCGCACCUGCACACUUGCUGAGAAAUGAGGGGUCCUUUGUUAAGGCCGGCGGAUUACAGGCAAGACGGCUCAAGCAACCCUUUCCUGAGGAUCCUUUGGAAGCACCGUCCCCCCUCAGCCCAAGCAAGCCUCCAAAAAUGUAAUUUUAGAACGUCUGCAGGAUGAGCAUCUACAGCAAGAGUUCAAAGCAAUGCCCAGCCAAGAAAAUGAGUGUAAAGCAUGGGGCAUCAGCACGGAGCACUGACCUGCACUCCUGGGGAGCCCAGCUGGAGACAAGCAGCCCCUGCAGCUGCCCACAGCUCCUCAACUUCCCAGUGCGAGGACUCUGGCAAGGCCGUGAGAAAACACGACCUCCACCAUCCCCAAGCACUGCUGGGGCCUCCAGCUGCUGGUCCCUUCCUUGCUAUCUGCAGGCACUUUCCGGCUCACAAGCUGACACGCGAAGGGUAGCGACAACGACCCUGACGAGUCCCAGGGCAACAGAGGGAAGUGGUUUGAGAGGGGUUUGCUGGAGUCUGUGCACCCAACCAGCCCUCAACCACAUGUUUAGUCUUGUCCCAAUAGCUGUGUCAUUGGCAAGCAGAGGAGUUCAGCUGGCUACUUUCUCAUGAGCUUUUCAAGAGGGGCAAAAUGGAAAAGAAGCUUUGAGCAGGCAGAGGAAGGAACUCUUGGUUAGCUGGGGAGGAGACAGCCAUCAGCUGUCACACCGUCUGUCUGGCAGCAGCCGGCCAGGCAGCCCCACGCAAGCUUUCCGUCCCAAGCACAUCCUUCCUGGCAGGGAAGGACGCAGGCCCUCAGGAAGCUGCUGCUUCUCCUGCCACGCUCAGCAGUGGGGAUCCCAUAGGGCUCCCGGCGCCUAAAAUGUGUGCCAGAAAUAGAGCCCAGGAGGUGCUAUAUUUAGUGGAGCAAGUGGUGACUUAGGAAGGGCCCCUCCAGCAGAUGGGCAUGGCCUUGUGAUGGGUCCUGUUCCCCAGGUGAGAAUGCUGUGUUGUACCCAGGGAAACGUGCAGCAAUCUCCUCUCAGGGGAUUGCAGGGCGGUGAGGUGGAACGGAUGUCCCACCUCUGCAAGGAGACUUGGAGAGAAGAGCAUCUAAUUAAGACCACAGCUCCAGUUAAUUGAGCCCAAUUCACCUGUGACAUGAAGAGCCACAAUCCCAUCAGCAAUAAUGGGACUGCAUCGGCUUACACCAGUAAUUAUUCCAGAUCAGCAGUAUAACAAAGCUAAUUCAAUACUUCUGCAGGUCCAGCUGCUCAGGCUGCCAGGGGAGUGCUGGAGAUGGCCUCCCUUAUGCCCAGCCCCAAAAAGCUGGUGGUGCAGUGCACGCUAGCAAUCCCUGCUGAACUGUACUGCAGGGUGCUGGCAGGUGACUGUGUGCUUGGGGCCACGCUGGAUGUGGUAGGGUGUCGCGUGAGCUGCUGGCGUGGGCAGACAAGCAAAUUGACAGCUGCACAAUCCUGCCAUCAUCGCUACUGCUCCCAUGGGGCUUGGACAAGAGGAUGGGGAUGGGAAGCCUGCAUGGGGUGUCCUGGGCAUAUCAAGGACUGGGAAUGGCAGGGCAGGCCCUGGCUGCCUCAUUCAGGCUGCAGCCCGGAAUGUAGCCCAGCACAGCAAUUCUUUCCUACCUCCGGCCAAAGAAAACUCAGCUGCCACUGUUGUGAGGAGAGGAGCAUUACUGUAGGCCAGUCAAGUUUUGACUAGU